rnacentral:rRNA from 1 species
CCUACGGGAGGCAGCAGUGAGGAAUAUUGGUCAAUGGACGAUAGUCUGAACCAGCCAAGUAGCGUGAAGGAUGACUGCCCUAUGGGUUGUAAACUUCUUUUAUAAGGGAAUAAAACGAGGUACGUGUGCCUCUUUGCAUGUACCUUAUGAAUAAGGAUCGGCUAACUCCGUGCCAGCAGCCGCGGUAAUACGGAGGAUCCGAGCGUUAUCCGGAUUUAUUGGGUUUAAAGGGAGCGUAGGUGGGUUGUUAAGUCAGUUGUGAAAGUUUGCGGCUCAACCGUAAAAUUGCAAUUGAUACUGGCAGUCUUGAGUACAGUUGAGGUAGGCGGAAUUCGUGGUGUAGCGGUGAAAUGCUUAGAUAUCACGAAGAACCCCGAUUGCGAAGGCAGCUUACUAAACUGUGACUGACGUUGAUGCUCGAAAGUGUGGGUAUCAAACAGGAUUAGAUACCCCAGUAGUC